GACGAACGCUGGCGGCGUGCUUAACACAUGCAAGUCGAACGAUGAAGCUGGAGCUUGCUCCGGUGGAUUAGUGGCGAACGGGUGAGUAACACGUGAGCAAUCUGCCAUUGACUCUGGGAUAACUGCGGGAAACUGUAGCUAAUACCGGAUACGAGGCUCGAAGGCAUCUUCGGGUCUGGAAAGAAUUUCGGUGAAGGAGGAGCUCGCGGCCGAUCUGGUUGGUGGUGAGGUAAUGGCUCACCAAGGGGACGACGGGUAGCCGGCCUGAGAGGGGGACCGGCCACACUGGGACUGAGACACGGGCCAGACUCCUACGGGAGGCAGCAGUGGGGAAUAUUGCACAAUGGGCGAAAGCCUGAUGCAGCAACGCCGCGUGAGGGAUGAAGGCCUUCGGGUUGUAAACCUCUUUUAGCAGGGAAGAAGCGAAAGUGACGGUACCUGCAGAAAAAGCACCGGCUAACUACGUGCCAGCCGCCGCAGUAA
rnacentral:rRNA from 1 species